rnacentral:lncRNA from 1 species
CGGGAAGAUUGUAACCCCAUAGUACUAGACCAACGAGGAGCUGGGGGAGGGCCUUGCGUGCUAGGAGAUAAAUUACCUGUUGUAACUGCCCCGGGUAUGCCUGCCUACCGGACACCUGAUCUUGCAAGACCGCCAUUAAGUCUCGCUUCUGCUGCAUUUCGUGUCUCUGAGUCCAUUCUUUGAUUUUGGACAGAUUUUUAAGAAGAAAAGAGGCAGGAGCAGGUGGAGUGGCUCACGCCUGUAAUCCCAGUACUUUGGGAGGCCGAGGCAGGUGGAUUACCCGAGGUCAGGAGUUCGAGACCAGCCUGGCCAACAUGGUGAAACCCUGUCUUGACUAAAUGUACAAAAAUUAGCCGGGCGUUCUGGGAAGCGCCUGUAAUCCCAGCUACUCAGGAGACUGAGGCAGAAGAAUUGCUUAAACCCAGGAGGUGGAGGUUGCAGUGAGCCUAGAUCACGCCACUGUACUCCAGCCUGGGCGACAGACUGAGACUCCAUUUCAAAAAACAAACAAAUAAAAAAAUAGUAUAACAACUACUUGCAUAGAGUUUACAUUGUAUUAAGUAUUAUGAGUAAUCUAGAAUGAUUUAAUGUAUACAGGAAGAUGUUCAUAGGUUAAAUGCAAGUACUGCUUAUUUUAUAUAAGGGACUUCAGUAUCUGCAGAUUUUGAUAUCUGGUGUAUUGGGGGGUUGGAACCAAUCUCCCCCAUACUGAAGGACGACUAUACUUACUCAGUUCCAGGUACUUUGCAUUAAUUAUCUAUAACCAAUAAAACAAUUCUGUAAUGUUAUAUCUCUUGGCAAUGGUAAUAUAGUGGUAAGGACAUGGAUUCUGAGUCCAAUUGCCUGGAUUCAAGUCUCAGCUCUACGUUUCCCUGUGUGAAUAUGGGCAAGUAACAUAACCCGUCUGCCUUAUUUUCCUCACCUGUAAAAUGUGGAUAAUACCUUCGAGGGCUGUUGUAAGGAGUAAAUAAGACAUAUAUAUAUAUGUAUGUGCAUAUAUAUAUAUAUAUAUUUUUUAG